UGACGGACUGAAGGAUCUUUCUCGAUUCCGUGGAAAGUGGUGCAUGGCCGUUUUUGGUUGGUGGAUCGAUCCGUCUGGUUAAUUCCGUUAACGAACGAGACCUCGGCACUCCGAAUAGCGCGGCGGACGUCGCGGCCUCCGGGCCGUCUUCCGCGCGAGCUUCUUAGAGGGACCGUCCCCCGCCGGGGAAGGAGUUUCGAGGCAACGACAGGUCUGUGAUGCCCUUAGAUGUUCUGGGCCGCACGCGCAUUACACUGACGCGUCCAACGGGCGACUCCCGGCCCGAAGGGGUCGGGGAAUCCGCAAGGCGCGUCGUGAUGGGGAUUGAACGUUGCAAUUGUUGUUCACGAACGAGGAAUUCCUAGUAGGCGCGGGUCAUCAACCCGCGCCGAUUACGUCCCUG
rnacentral:rRNA from 1 species